AAAAAAGGUAAGCUACUAAGAGCGAAUGGUGGAUGCCUUGACUGGUAAAGGCGAUGAAGGACGUACUAGACUGCGAUAAGCUACGGGGAGCUGUCAAGAAGCUUUGAUCCGUAGAUUUCCGAAUGGGGCAACCCAAUGUAUAGAGAUAUACAUUACCUAUAUAGGAGCGAACGAGGGGAAUUGAAACAUCUUAGUACCCUCAGGAAAAGAAAUCAAUAGAGAUUGCGUCAGUAGCGGCGAGCGAAAGCGCAAGAGGGCAAACCCAGUGCUUGCACUGGGGGUUGUAGGACUGCAAUGUGCAAGAGGUAAGUUUAGCAGAACAUUCUGGAAAGUAUAACCAUAGAGGGUGAUAGUCCCGUAUGCGAAAAACAAACCUUAGCUAGCAGUAUCCUGAGUAGGGCGGGACACGAGGAAUCCUGUCUGAAUCUGGGUCGACCACGAUCCAACCCUAAAUACUAAUACCAGAUCGAUAGUGCACAAGUACCGUGAGGGAAAGGUGAAAAGAACUGAGGUGAUCAGAGUGAAAUAGAACCUGAAACCAUUUGCUUACAAUCAUUCAGAGCCCUAUGUAGCAAUACAGGGUGAUGGACUGCCUUUUGCAUAAUGAGCCUGCGAGUUGUGGUGUCUGGCAAGGUUAAGCAAACGCGAAGCCGUAGCGAAAGCGAGUCUGAAUAGGGCGCUUAGUCAGAUGCUGCAGACCCGAAACGAAGUGAUCUAUCCAUGAGCAAGUUGAAGCUAGUGUAAGAACUAGUGGAGGACUGAACCCAUAGGCGUUGAAAAGCCCCGGGAUGACUUGUGGAUAGGGGUGAAAGGCCAAUCAAACUUCGUGAUAGCUGGUUCUCUCCGAAAUAUAUUUAGGUAUAGCGUUGUGUCGUAAUAUAAGGGGGUAGAGCACUGAAUGGGCUAGGGCAUACACCAAUGUACCAAACCCUAUCAAACUCCGAAUACCUUAUAUGUAAUCACAGCAGUCAGGCGGCGAGUGAUAAAAUCCGUCGUCAAGAGGGAAACAACCCAGACUACCAGCUAAGGUCCCUAAAUCUUACUUAAGUGGAAAAC
rnacentral:rRNA from 1 species